rnacentral:miRNA from 1 species
GCUCCAAUGUGCUCCCACUGGUAGUGUUUGAAGCUUUGUACAGUACAUGCUAUGUGUACAAAGCUUCAAACACUACCAGUGGGAGCACAUUGGAGU